rnacentral:rRNA from 1 species
CCUUCGGGGGGCAGCAGUGAGGAAUAUUGGUCAAUGGACGCAAGUCUGAACCAGCCAUGCCGCGUGCAGGAUGACGGCUCUAUGAGUUGUAAACUGCUUUUGUACGAGGGUAAACCCCGAUACGUGUAUCGGGUUGAAAGUAUCGUACGAAUAAGGAUCGGCUAACUCCGUGCCAGCAGCCGCGGUAAUACGGAGGGUGCGAGCGUUAAUCGGAAUUACUGGGCGUAAAGCGCUCGUAGGCGGUAUGUCAAGUCAAGGGUGAAAUCCCCGCGCUCAACGUGGGAACUGCCUUUGAAACUGGCAAACUUGAGUGUGUGUGAGGAUAGUGGAAUUCCAGGUGUAGGAGUGAAAUCCGUAGAUAUCUGGAGGAACAUCAGUGGCGAAGGCGACUAUCUGGCACAUAACUGACGCUGAGGAGCGAAAGCGUGGGUAGCAAACAGGAUUAGAUACCCUAGUAGUC